GAUGGUGAUUGGCGUGCAUGGGUGCGUUGGAUCCCUGCUUGGGCAGCGACAACGUACCUUGCUCGCCUCUUCAGUUCUUGGCAUAGGCACGCUGAGCCUUUACCGGAUGAUGUUUUCCUGUGUUAUAUACCCCCCCCAUUAAAAGGGCAUUGAAUUUGUUCAAUUGUAUCUGUUCGCUUCUUGUUGCGUCCCCUCGGAUUGUGGCACGUAGUGAACUUUAAAGCAUUGAUUGCGUUCCACUUUCCUUGCAUGCACGUGCUUGGGCUGUUGGGCCGUGGUCCUUGUUCGAUCUCUCGGUUGCGGAAUACCUUGUGGGAACGAGGCACUAGUGUCUCCAUUCGUCCCUUAUUGAGCGUUUAACGCUAUGUUCGAACGACAGUUGUGGCCGUCUUGACUAGGUCUUUAUGGCUCGGCUCAUGCGGUCCCAACGUCGAUGAGGAAUGCUACCUGGUGAUCCUGCCAGUAGUCAUAUGCUUGUCUCAAAGAUUAA
rnacentral:misc_RNA from 1 species